rnacentral:snRNA from 1 species
AUUGCUUCUCUUCCUUUUGGUUAAGACCAAGUGUAGUAUCUGUUCUUAUCAGUUUAAUAUCUGAUACACCCCCUUGUGGGGAAGUCAUGGCCUAAUGGUUAGAGAGUCUGACUUGCAAUCCAAAGGUUGUGAGUUCGAGUCUGGCGCCGGCAGGAAUUGUAGGUGGGGGGAGUGAAUGUACAGCGCUCUCUCCACCCUUC